rnacentral:rRNA from 1 species
AUUCCAGCUCCAAUAGCGUAUAUUAAAGUUGUUGCAGUUAAAAAGCUCGUAGUUGGAUUUCUGAUAGGGAGCCGAUCACCACUGUUGUGAGUGUUAGGUACCUGUCAUCCUUCUGUUAACCCCUGCGGCAUUCAUUUGUCGUUGGGCGGACCAGAUACUUUACCUUGAGAAAAUUAGAGUGUUUCAGGCAGGCCUAGCCGGAAUACAUUAGCAUGGAAUAAUGGAAUAGGACUAUAGUCUCGUCGUUGGUUACGUGGACUGCAGUAAUGAUUAACAGGGACAGUCAGGGGCACUCGUAUUCCGCCGAGAGAGGUGAAAUUCUCAGACCAGCGGAAGACGAACCACUGCGAAAGCAUAUGCCAGGGAUGUUUUCAUUA